rnacentral:lncRNA from 1 species
AUCUGGCAACGAGGCUGCGAGGAAAUCUUAAUGAUAUUGGACAUAUUGUUUUCCCCGGUGUACAAGGUAGAGUUGAAAGAUGCAAGUGGUGUUUCUGAUCACUUUCCUUUUGGUCUCAGCUCACUGCACACCAUGGAAACCACCGAUCAACAGAGCGACUACCAGAGCCCCCAUGCUGCCGUCACCACCGAGAACAGAAAUUGCUCCUCCUCUGACUCCGAGGCCCCCAGGCCCUUUCACCCCAGACAGACGGGGAGACACGUGAUUCAUGAAGUUCUGCAGGGAUUUCAGAGCGAAAGGCAGCUUCUUCCCCCGCAUCCACACCACAGCUGACGAUCCAACACAGCAGCUCUCUGCUCCGUGUCCCACAAGGGACCCUCUUCUGUAUCCUGGCUAAAAUGGCACUUCAUUAAAAAUGUUUCUGUCACUACGAUAUUCCCAAGUGGAAUGAUAUUUCCCAUCAUUAUCAGCCUUUAAAGAGAGAUGGGGAAAACGAGCAAAGGAAUCGAGGGAACAGGAUCUCUUUUUUCCUGGGAAGCCCUAGGCGUAGCUAAAAAUCAAGAGGUUCUAUGACAAAGGAAGAGGGCAAGAGGAUACUGGGGUGGUGGUGGGUGACAGGACUGUCUCCAGGUGACAUCCAAGCCCUUGAGAGACCACUGGGAUGUUUCCAGCAAGAGGAGAUGGUAUUCUGACCCUUUUAACUGGGACAGAAAUUUGAUGAAGCUCAGGGGAAAUGCACCUAAAAUUUCCCCUUGUCUUAUUUGGGAGGCAGAGUUAGCAGUUUCUCCCUAAUCACAGAUGUGCAAAGAAAAGGGAACAAGAGGAGUUCCUGUUGUGGCUCAGUGGUUAAAGAAUCCGACUAGGAACCAUGAGGUUGUGGGUUCGAUCCCUGACCCCGCUCAAUGGGUUAAGGAUCCGGCAUUGCCGUGAGCUGUGGGGUAGGUUGCAGAUGCGGCUCGGAUCCCGAGUUGCUGUGGUGUAGGCUGGCAGCUACAGCUCCGAUUUGACCCCUGGCCUGGGAACCUCCAUAUGCCACGGGUGCGGCCCUAGAAAAAGCAAAAAGACAAAAAAAAAAAAAAAAAAAAAAGAAAAAAAAAGAGGGGGGAGAAAAAGGGGGAAUGGGAAAAGCACCAG